rnacentral:rRNA from 1 species
CAGGAUGAACGCUAGCGACAGGCCUAACACAUGCAAGUCAGGGGCAGCACAAGGAGCAAUCUGAGGUGGCGACCGGCGCACGGGUGAGUAACACGUAUGCAACCUGCCUGUAAGCGGGGAAUAACCCGUUGAAAGACGGACUAAUACCGCAUAAUACUAAAUUACUGCAUGGUAAUUUAUUUAAACAUUUAUGGCUUACAGAUGGGCAUGCGCAUGAUUAGCUAGUUGGAGAGGUAACGGCUCCCCAAGGCAACGAUCAUUAGGGGUUCUGAGAGGAAGGUCCCCCACACUGGUACUGAGACACGGACCAGACUCCUACGGGAGGCAGCAGUGAGGAAUAUUGGUCAAUGGACGAGAGUCUGAACCAGCCAAGUCGCGUGCAGGAAGAAUGUCCCUAUGGAUUGUAAACUGCUUUUGCAGGGGAAUAAAGUGCAUCACGUGUGAUGUUUUGUAUGUACUCUGCGAAUAAGGAUCGGCUAACUCCGUGCCAGCAGCCGC